rnacentral:ncRNA from 1 species
AGCGCGCUAUCGUAAGACCUUGUGACCCUGGUCAUGGAUACCACGGCCUAGCUCCUGCUGAAAUGCAAGGGGACAGACUGAAAUCGGGGCCUAGGGCGAGGCGCGCU